UGGUACCUGAAGUCAAGCAAGGUCACCCGCUGAACU
rnacentral:rRNA from 1 species